UAUUGUUAGAAAUAAGUAGGUUGUGCCCUACUUAAUUAACUAACCAAAUUAGAGGGGCCAAUAUUGUUAAAAUUGAAACUUAACUUUAAUUAAUUAAAUAAAACACACCAAACACCCCACAAGGAGGUGUCUGGUCGUACAAGAAGAACAAGGGGGCGAUCCCCACACAUCAAAACCCUAAAUCUUCACCAAACUUGCAAAUUGAAGGCUCAAUCCAAGUCAAAAUCGAAAAUCAAGCAUAGAUUAUUGAUCCCCAUUGAAAGGGGAGUCAUAAGUUUGACUCUGACAAGCUAGGUAGGAGCUUGGAAAUGAACGGGUCAAAUGGAUACAAGUUCAAGUAUGAAGCUCGCAAGGAUGAAAGAUAUCCAAUGGAUACUCGCAUCGCUCUUAAUUAG
rnacentral:lncRNA from 1 species